ACAAACUGCACAGAGAACAGGGGCAGAGAGAGAUGCAGCGAGAUUCAUGUACUGUGUCCCUGGUGAUGGCGGUUUGUGUUUCCCUUUACCUGGCAGCUCUGGAAUCCCUCUCACCUGAACAGAAAGCAGAGCUGCUGUUGGACCCAUCCACCGGCGCUCUUGAAAAUGAGACCAUGGUGAAGUAGGUGUUGCUACGUAACAUUCAAGUUGCACACCUCCUCAUCCCGUCGGAGUCUGCAAGGAAACACCAAAUGAUGUGUUCCGCUUGAGAUUGGAAGUGUUUCGGGAGGGCCUUGCGACUUCAGCAUCCCUUGGUAUGUCUGUUCUUCG